rnacentral:rRNA from 1 species
AGAGUUUGAUCCUGGCUCAGAACGAACGCUGGCGGCAUGCCUAACACAUGCGAGUCGAACGAGGGUCCCAGCUUGCUGGGGUGCCCUAGUGGCGGACGGGUGAGUAACGCGUGGGAACCUGCCUUGGAGUGAAGGAUAACCACUGGAAACGGUGGCUAAUACUGCAUACGCCCUUCGGGGGAAAGGCUUCGGCCGCUCUUAGAUGGUCCCGCGUCUGAUUAGCUUGUUGGUGGGGUAACGGCCUACCAAGGCGACGAUCAGUAGCUGGUCUGAGAGGAUGAUCAGCCACACUGGGACUGAGACACGGCCCAGACUCCUACGGGAGGCAGCAGUGGGGAAUAUUGGACAAUGGGGGAAACCCUGAUCCAGCAAUGCCGCGUGAGUGAAGAAGGCCCUAGGGUUGUAAAACUCUUUCACUGAUGAAGAUGAUGACGGUAAUCAGAGAAGAAGCCCCGGCUAACUCCGUGCCAGCAGCCGCGGUAAUACGGAGGGGGCUAGCGUUGUUCGGAAUUACUGGGCGUAAAGCGCACGUAGGCGGCGUAUUUAGUUAGAGGUGAAAGGCCUGGGCUCAACCCGGGAAACUGCCUUUAAUACUGAUAUGCUUGAGUAC